AAAGGAGGAGUCCAAAGGGAUCGCAUUGAUCCCAAUUUAUAUAUAUUACAUAUACAUAUAUUUUUCCUAAUUAUUUUUUUUUUCUUUUUUCAAAUUUAUUCUUCUUGAAUAUUUAUUAAUUUUGGAUCAUGCUAUCCCUUGGGAUUCAUCCUU
rnacentral:pre_miRNA from 1 species